AUACAUUAACACAACAAAGACACAUCAUCACAGUUUCACAAGCAAGCUUUUCAUAUUUCACAGUAUCACAGCCAGUAUCACAACAACUACACAGUUGCCCUUCACAAAAUCUACUACCAAUGAAACAGAAAGCUAUAACCAAGGAUACGAAAAGAUACUACAAAUCAAAGAAUACGAAGUUGUUCAAAUAAUCUUGCUGCUCCUUGUUCUGCCCUUUGGAUAAUCAAAGUCUUUUGCUUGUAGUAGUCUUCCUUUUCUUAUUCUUGAUUCGAUCAACCAUUGAAGUUCUCUUAACAUACUUCUUCCUUUUCUUGUUCUUCUUCUCAUUAACUGGUUCCUCUUCAUUAACUGGUUCCUCCUCCUCAUUAGUUGCUUCUUUCUCAUUGUGACAUAAAAUGGGUGUAAACUUGCUCUAUACUGUGUCUUUUUGUUUCUCUCUUCCUCCUUAAUAGUUUCAACCAUUAUAACCUAAGCAACUAUCAAUAACACAUGGAAGAUGAGAGAGAGAGAGAGAGAGAGAGAGAGAGAGAGAGAGAGAGCUGCUUUUUAGAUGAGUGUGUGUGGGUGGAGAAAGUGUGAGUGUGAAUUAGGUUAUGAUGAGAGAUGCGUAAUUAAGUUAAAAGCUAAUAUCUAACAUGAAAAGAUAUUUGGGCUGGACCUAGCUGGAUUAGACUUAUGUAAGUAAAAAUAUUUAAGUAGACUUAUAUAAGAGAAAAUAUCUCAAAUAGAUUUCUACGUAAUUAGCCCGUUAGAAAUCUUACUUAGGCCCAAAAUAGGCUAAGAAUCCAUCACAAGGGCGAGACCGAAAAUUUGAUUAGAAAUCCAUGGUAUAUAAAUACAUUGCUCAUUACCUUCUUUAUUCUUCACCGCCGAAACCCCAAACCCCAAACCCCCACUUCAACUCCACAGCUUCGCGUAUCUUCGGCCAUGGGGUCAGGCAUUUUUUUUUUUUUCUAGCUACUUUCUUUUCAGAUAAGUGAUUCUCUCUUCGUUUGUUUGUUGAAGAUUUUGUUAAGGAUUUGGUGAAGAUGUAUACCUAUCUCUGCGAUUUGCUUCCUAAUUGUUGAAUCGAAGUCUUUGGAUUUGUAUUCUGAGCAUGUUAAUGGUGAUAUCUCUUCGUUUGUUGAAGUUUUUGUUAAGGAUUUGGUGAAGAUAUUAUCUCUGCGAUUUACUUCCUAAUUGUUGAAUCGAAGCUUUGGAUUUGUAUUCUGAGCAUGUUAAUGGUGAUUUGUUGCUAUGAAAGCUGAUGCAAUUUGCUAGACCUGAAUUUUUUUUUCUCUGAAACCCUAGUUUGCCUACACUCUUGUUCAACUCUUCCUUGCUGCCUUUCCCAAUCUCUUGUCUCUCUCACGCCUGCUUCUCUAUUCUUUACCUUUGAUUUUUUUUGUUUUUGUUUUGAUUCUCAAACCCUAGCUUCAUACUGUUGUAGGCGUGGAUCUCGAUGCUUACAGAGAGUUGGUGAAGGACAAGGGGGGGAUGAGACAUGGUACUAGGUUUUUUUACUCGAACUUAAACCUUAGCAGGAUGUGUAUGUGGGAAGAGGUAGAGAGGAAUAACCGAGAAGAGGAUAUGAAGCAAGCUCUACAUGAAAGGAUAGCUCUAAAUAAAAGCCUUGGGCAAUAUUGGGAUAACCUCAGGAAUGAAAACAAGAGGGCAUUGGUUAAGUCUUGUUUAAAUGCUGAGGAUUUACAAAAUUUUACUCGGGAGAAUACUCCUGUUAUUGAGUUUCUUACCAAAAUCAACCCGGAGGUUAUAUGGGAAUAUACUUUUCUUGCAUUUGAAUUGACUUAUUUUCAGUCGGGAGCUAGAUUCUUGGAGAUUGCUCAAUCUGAUACUCUCAAUCUAAAAUCCGAGAAGUUUUUCAGCCUUCUAGAUGGAGCGAGUGAGAGUACAUGGCUGUUAGGUGGAAGUCCUAAGGUUGAGCAUGUGUUAGAUCAUUGUAUGGAGGUUUUAAAGAAUGCAGGAGAUGGAGAUGUUAUCGCUAGCAGCUGUUUACGCAUAGAACAAAAACUAUUAGAAGGUUACAUCCAAGCAGAGGUCGACAAGGAUAAAACUAGAAACAGAAGGGCCCAGAAAAAGAAGGAGAGAUAUGCUGGACCAAAAAACCCACGUGUACAAGAUAUUUCUGGUCUGCUCAAUACAAAUACAGUUGACAACAGCACUAAGGGGGAUGCAAAAAUCCAAGAUGUGGUUGUUAACAGUGAUGUGGGUAAUCUUGAGGUAGAAGCCAAAGUUGUGGGUGAAGCAAGAUCUACUCAAAUUGAUGAAUUAGGCUCCCAGACAUUAGAUAUUGUAACUGGAAUGGCUAGGGAUUAUUGUGCAACGUCAUCAGAAUCAUUAAUUUCAGAGGAAGCUCGGCAAGGUGAUGGUGCCAGCAUGUUUGAACCACUUGCUCAGCCUGAUUCUGGAGAGGAAGAUGAGGACCAGUCUGCAAAAGAUGUAUCAGGAUCGGCUACUGCCAGAACCACGUCGCAACUACAAUCAUCAAAUGCAAAGUCAAAAAAACAGGAAGCAUCAGGUCCAUCUUCCCCGUCACCAGGUGUGUUCAGCUCAGUAGUGUCCUCCAAUGAACCGGGUGGGAGUUCAAGUAACCCUUCUGGAGAAGCUGCAGUUCCUCAAACUAUGGCCAUGGAAAUUAGGGCCGUGCAGGAUAUGAUGAAAAAGGUGAGCGCUGAAAUUUGGGCAUUUAAUUAUCUUGCACAUGUCUAUGACGUACCAACUAUUUUCUGCUUAACUUGGUAAAGUAGGCUUAGUAUCUUCUCCAAAACUAUGCUACUGCCAUUUAUGCCGGUCUUCAAGUCAUUUAUUAUUUGGUGAACUGGUAUAUCAAUAUGUUCUUUCUUGUCCCAUUUCACAUGCCUAUAUCAUGGGAAGAGCUAAAGGUUCUAUGUUGCAUGUGUUAUGGUUGUGUUUUGUGUAAUCAAACCUUGUUUUCUUGUCCAUUAUCCUUUCUGUUAACUAUGGCUUUUCAUCAUAUGUGCAGCUAAUGGAUAUGCACGAAAAAUUGCAAGAGCAGAUGGCAGUGAUGAAGGCUAUAGAGGCCGAUAAUGUUGCUAUGUGGGUUCAGCGUCUUGAAGAGUUUCCUAAACAAGUAACUGGUCUGAUCGAUGACUUUGUAAACAAGGACUUUGGAGUCAUGUUAGAGAAAAAGGUGAAAAAUGAAUUAGCUGAUAUUAAAGACGCUUUUGUUUGUGCAAACACUCCAGGUAUAGAGCAAACUCAGACAGUACCUUGGCUGUAUCUGAUUACUGUCAGGUAAGAAUUUUAGAUGUUCUAGCAUUUU
rnacentral:lncRNA from 1 species